rnacentral:rRNA from 1 species
UAGGGAAUAUUGGGCAAUGGACGGAAGUCUGACCCAGCCAUGCCGCGUGCAGGAAGAAGGCCUUCUGGGUUGUAAACUGCUUUUAUAUAGGAAGAAAACACCCAUGCGUGGGAAACUGACGGUACUAUAUGAAUAAGCACCGGCUAACUCCGUGCCAGCAGCCGCGGUAAUACGGAGGGUGCAAGCGUUGUCCGGAUUUAUUGGGUUUAAAGGGUGCGUAGGCGGCCCUGUAAGUCAGUGGUGAAAGCCUCCAGCUCAACUGGAGAACUGCCAUUGAUACUGCAGGGCUUGAGUACAGACGAGGUAGGCGGAAUUGAUUGUGUAGCGGUGAAAUGCAUAGAUACAAUCAAGAACUCCGAUUGCGUAGGCAGCUUACUAGGCUGUAACUGACGCUGAGGCACGUAAGCGUGGGGAGCGAACAGGAUUAGAUACCCUGGUAGUCCACGCUGUAAACGAUGAUUACUCGAUGUCGGCGAUAAC